rnacentral:lncRNA from 1 species
UAGUGAAUAUAGAUAAAAUUUUUUUUAUGUAUAUGUGAUUACAAUUAUAAAUAACGAUUACAGUAAUGAAUAAAUAUACAACAAACUAAUGUCGGUCAAUGACCUAAUGCUAGGAUCGACUAAGCGAUGUCGAAUGUAUAAUACAUAAGAAAAAGAUGUCGAAUGAAUAAAUUUAUUUUCUAAUGCAUAAUACAUAUGUUUAACUGAAUAUUACAAAACUACUGUCAAAUAACACAUCUUCGAUCAGUUUUUUUUACCCUUAUUUUACAUUUUCCAGCCGUACGUGAUGCAUCGGAUUUUGCCUGAACCAGGUUCUGAAAAACAAAAAACUUAUAAUGUUCUUUGGAACCUUCGUAUUUCGCCGCUUGUUCAGCAAGUUCACCUUCUUCUUCAACAAGCUUUUUUUAUCAGGAAAAAAGGCACUUUAAUAAAAGGAUCUUUGGUACCAGUAGUACCAAUUACCCCAAAGAGAAGAGCGUUUACAACAAAUAAAGGAAAAGAACCGAAACCAGAAGGAGAAUCACAUCUUUUUCCAAAGCUAGGUCUCUAGCAGCUAAACCACAAAAUUAAUCCAACACCUUUUCCAUAGAGAACCAAGUUCUGAAGUCUUCUUCAACAAGCUGAUGAUGAGAUUAUUCAAAAUCCUAGAGGAAAUUGCAUAAGAAAGAAGAAAGGGAAAAUUUCUGGUACAAAAACAAAAACAAGAUAAAUAGAAUUCAUUCUUCACACCUAUUUGCAAAGAAUCGAAAAACAAAUGCAACAUACGGUACAAAAUCAGAAAACAAAAGAAAAAAUACAUUCUCAUAAAAAAACAAAACCAACAAAAAGAGAAUUCUUUUUCCACAUCUAUUUGCAUAGAAUCGGAAAAAAUCAGAACUUUAAACAACAAAGAAAUACAACACUAAUAACAACAAACCUCCAUGUUUUCGAUGAACUCACUAUUUUCACCUCUUUUUAAAUGAGAUCCACUCCUUCAAAAGUGAAAAAAGAAGCACAGUUAAUCGAUUCUACAGAUCUUGUUGAACAAAAUGAGAUUCGAAACUUCUGGAAUAAAUAAACGAUUGAAAAAUGAAAAAAGAAAUUUCCUUUUUAUCGCAACUUACUUUUCAUGCCGCUUGUUUACCACGAUGAUCUUCGUCUUCACCGCUCGACCAAAUCUGAAGAAGCCGCUUGUUCCGCCUUUGUAUUUCGCCGCUGACGGGAAUAAAAUGAAAAGGAAGAAAACUCUAAUUGCAAAUGAAUAAGGAAAAAAAUGUAAAAUGAAACCAACGGAAAUUUUGGAGCAAUUAAUUCACCACCGAUUUUUGUGGGAUUAGUUGAUACACGUUAUUGCAUAAUUUACUGAAUAGCCCUUUUGUCAGUGUGAACGCAGAAGUCAAUUUCCAGGAAAAAAUAGGAUUAAAUAAUUCCCAGAAAAAUAUACACGGUUGGAUCAAUGUAAUCCUAUGGUUAUUAUAUGAUCUUAGUCCUAACACUUAAGGG